UCUAUCUCUCUUUUCUCUUCAAAUUUUUCUUGGUCUUUGAGAUGAAAGAAAAUAAAAAAUGUUAAUUAAAGUAACUCAUUUGAUUCUUAGUCUUUUGUGUUCUUGCCAGUACAAGAAGAUCACAUCCUCCUAGUGCAAGCGUAGACACAUUUGGAAGAUCUCUACAUAGACAUCUCGAUCCAUUGAAGGGAGGAAUCAACGUUAGUAGCCGGUUCAAGAAAUCAAUGAGGGUUUUUUGCUUCAUUGAAAGGUGCCGCUGGAGCCACCACUCACAUCACUGGUAACAAAUCUUGUUUGACCUCUUUAUCUAUGUCCACCUUAUCCCCUGUACGCUUGGCUGAUGGCACUCAUUCUCCUGUUUCUAGCUCCGGUAUCAUUCAUUGCUCUAAAGAUCUUACCCUUGAUAAUGUUCUCUUUGCUCAUUGUUUUCCCAUCAGCGGACAUUUCCUUUGUUGUGGGCAUAGUGAGUCAAUAUAUGGAUAGACCCCUGACUAUCCAUAGGCAAGCUGCACAACUCAGGAUACUCAAGUAUGUUAAAGUUGCUCCGGGUAAAGGUUUGUUGUUCAAGAAACAUGGUCAUCUAAAGAUAGAAGCUUAUUCAGAUGUUGAUGCUGGCUCUAGAAAUGAUAGAAGAUCUACUUUUGGAUAUUGCACCUAUCUUGGGGGAAAUUUGGCUACUUGGCGAAGUAAACUGUUGCUCGGUCUAGUGCAGAGGCUGAAUCCAGGGCUAUGGUUCUUACUGCUAAUGACAUGAUGUGGCCAAAAACUUUGUUGGGAGAAUUGGGGUUCUUGUACGAUAAGCUACUACCUAUUUACUGUGAUAAUCAGGCAGCCAUUCAUAUUGCAAGCAAUCCAGUAUUUCAUGAAAGGACAAAACAUAUUGAAAUUGAUUGUCAAUUCAUCCGUGAAGCAGUGAUGAGUAGAAAAAAUUUGUACUCCAUUUACUCCUCAUCAAAACAAAUAGCACAUGUGUUCACCAAGGCUUUAGGGUGCAAGCAGUUUCAGUUCUUAUAUAGCAAGCUGAGCAUGGUUGAUAUAUAUGCUCCGGCUUGAGGGUGAGUGUUAGAAGAUUUGAUUAAGAUUUUGUGUAUGUUUGCCUUAUUUAUAGUUGCUAUUCUUGGUAGGUAGAUCAAUCAUAUCUAGUCCUAACACUAUAUAAUUGGGACUAGCUCGUCAAUGUAAAUCAAUCCUUUCUCUUAUUACUAUUCAAUAAUACUCUUUCAAACCAGAAUCACUA